AUUGAACGCUGGCGGCAUGCUUUACACAUGCAAGUCGAGCGAACGGACGAGAAGCUUGCUUCUCUGAUGUUAGCGGCGGACGGGUGAGUAACACGUGGAUAACCUACCUAUAAGACUGGGAUAACUUCGGGAAACCGGAGCUAAUACCGGAUAAUAUUUUGAACCGCAUGGUUCAAAAGUGAAAGACGGUCUUGCUGUCACUUAUAGAUGGAUCCGCGCUGCAUUAGCUAGUUGGUAAGGUAACGGCUUACCAAGGCAACGAUGCAUAGCCGACCUGAGAGGGUGAUCGGCCACACUGGAACUGAGACACGGUCCAGACUCCUACGGGAGGCAGCAGUAGGGAAUCUUCCGCAAUGGGCGAAAGCCUGACGGAGCAACGCCGCGUGAGUGAUGAAGGUCUUCGGAUCGUAAAACUCUGUUAUUAGGGAAGAACAUAUGUGUAAGUAACUGUGCACAUCUUGACGGUACCUAAUCAGAAAGCCACGGCUAACUACGUGCCAGCCGCCGCGGUAA
rnacentral:rRNA from 1 species